rnacentral:rRNA from 1 species
AUUGAACGCUGGCGGCAUGCCUUACACAUGCAAGUCGAACGGCAGCGCGGGAGCAAUCCUGGCGGCGAGUGGCGAACGGGUGAGUAAUAUAUCGGAACGUGCCCUAGAGUGGGGGAUAACUAGUCGAAAGAUUAGCUAAUACCGCAUACGAUCUACGGAUGAAAGUGGGGGAUCGCAAGACCUCAUGCUCGUGGAGCGGCCGAUAUCUGAUUAGCUAGUUGGUAGGGUAAAAGCCUACCAAGGCCACGAUCAGUAGCUGGUCUGAGAGGACGCACAGCCACACUGGGACUGAGGCACGGCCCAGGCUCCUACGGGAGGCAGCAGGGGGGAAUUUUGGACAAUGGGGGAAACCCUGAUCCAGCAAGGCCGCGUGUGUGAAGAAGGCCUUCGGGUUGUAAAGCACUUUUGUCCGGAACGAAACGGGCCGAGCUAAUAUCUUGGCCUAAUGACGGUACCGGAAGAAUAAGCACCGGCUAACUACGUGCCAGCCGCCGCCGUAA